GCAUCUUGGAGUCAAGGGACCUGCGCCUAGAAAAGCGCACCUUGUUUCGGCUGGAUCUUGUUCCAAUUAACCGGUCAGUGGGACUCAAGGCCAAGCCCACCAAGCCCGUCACGGAGGUGCUACGGCCCGUGGUGGCCAAGUACGGCCUGGACCUCAGUGGCCUGCUGGUGAGGCUG
rnacentral:sRNA from 1 species